GAAAGGCCACACCGAUGCAGAAAUUGAGGCCAUAUUCACUAAAUAUGACCAGGAUGGAGAUCAGGAACUGACAGAACGUGAGCACCAACAGAUGAGAGACGACUUGGAGAAAGAGAGGGAGGACCUGGACUUGGAACACAGCUCUUUACCACGUCCUAUGAGCAGCAGAAGUUUCCCAAGAAGCCUGGAUGACUCUGAAGAGGAAGAUGACGAUGACAGUGGGCAUAGCUCCCGCANNNNNNNNNNCAGCAUCUCCAGCGGGGUUUCCUAUGAGGAGUUUCAGGUACUGGUGAGGCGUGUGGACCGCAUGGAGCACUCCAUAGGCAGCAUCGUGUCCAAGAUUGAUGCUGUGAUUGUCAAGCUUGAGAUCAUGGAACGGGCCAAGCUGAAGAGGCGAGAGGUGUUAGGAAGGCUGCUGGAUGGAGUGGCUGAGGAUGAGAGACUGGGUCGUGACAGCGAGGUCCACAGGGAGCAGAUGGAGCGCCUGGUACGGGAAGAGUUGGAACGCUGGGAAUCGGAUGAUGCAGCAUCCCAGACAGGUCACGGUGUAGGCAUGCAAGUGGGACUCAAUGGUCAGCCUCACCCUAGAAGUUCCCGGCCUCCUUCCUCCCAGUCUGCUGAGGGCCUGGAAGGUGGAGGUGGAAGUGGAAGUGCCAAUGUCCAUGUGUAAUAAUCCACAAGUGUUUGUAUGUGUGUUCCUGAGACAUGAUGAGGUGGUUGUCCAGUAUGGUAGUGACAGUUACAGUAUUUAUACGCCCAGCUACAUUAUGAUGCUGGUCUUUGUGACCAACUGUUAUAAUUUUCUGCACUUUAAUUUAUUUUACAUAAACUUUGCCCAUGGUUUCAAGAGGAUUGUUUUACUUUUUCUCAAAUGAGAAAUCUAGAUGUAAAUAUUGAGUUCAGAAAACAAAAAAUUUUGAAAGUACACGCAGUGGCUGCCCUGUCCCAGUCUUCAGGUGAAAAUGAAGUAGUCUUUAAAAGCUGUUCUGUGCUCAUGUCCAGCCCUGCAGUCAGCAGUAGCAGUCCUGUAUAAUUCGUUAAGAGAAACCAAGCAUUUCUUUCUGCUCCGAUGUCACUUGGGAGCUUAUCGCAAACUUCCUUCUAAGAAAGGAGUCUUUCUUCACCAACCUAUCUGGGGUGAACUUUUCUAAAAAAUGAAGUAGGAGAGAACUCCAAAGCAGAGUACGGAUUUGUAACCAUUGUUGAAAUGUGUGUGAACAGUUGAGAUAGAAUUUAAGUGCUGUCUCUUUUUGCUAUUACAGUCUCAGUUUGUGGGACUAAACACAUAAUUUAUUUUUUGUUUUGUUUAGCUUUUGUUAGACAUUGGGUAAGAAAAGCCAAAAAGAUAAAUUAUAGGAAAAUAUGUAGGAGAAUUGGAAAGAGCCUUAAUCUGUCACUAAACUUAACUGUUCAAUUCUUUUUUGGAAUAGAAAUUUUUCCAUUUUUCUUUCCCAUGUGUCUCAUUUACAACUGAAUCUAAUAUUAAAGUAGCUAAAGAAUAAGACAAACUUACUGAACAUUUUGGUAUGCAAUGAAAGUUUUAAUUCAGCAAAUGUGUACAUGUGAAGCAGUGUUUUAAGGAGGUUUUGAGGUGCAUAAAAGCUCUGUAAAAGUAAAGGUUUGGCUUAUGUUUUAUCUAGAAUAUAGCUCUCAAAUAUCCAUCUUAUAUUUCAGAAUGAGAACGCAAAUUCAGUCCUGUAAGGAGCCUCUAGGGUUAAGGGGUUAUCCAUUAUUAGAAGUGAUCAGCUAAAAGUUGCAUAUCAGCAAUGGUUUUCCUUAGGUGAGGGUCUCACUAAAUUGAUAGGAGAAAUCUAUGUUGUUGUUAAAGACAGGGCCUCACCGUAUAAUCCUGGCUGGCCUGGAACUAACUGUAUAAACUAGGUUGGCUUCUAAUUCACAGAGAGCCACCUACUCUUCCUCCUGUGUUCUGGGAUUAAGGCCAUGUGUAAUCACACCACACUAAAACCAUUUUUAAAAAAAUGCGGAGUAACCGGGCCUUUUGAGAGCCAAAGCCACACCAGCCAGCUAUCAGCAGGUUGAGGACAGGUAGAGGAGAGUCCUGGACUUUAGUGCUGUUAUCUAAAUACUCCAGCAUUCAUUUUCUUCAUAGAAUUCACCAAACCUCCAACAAACUGCUGGGCAGACUGGCCUUUCUAGCUUGUUAUCUAAAUACUCCAGCAUUCAUUUUCUUCAAAGAAUUCACCAAACCUCCAACAAACUGCUGGGCAGACUGGCCUUUCUAGCAGCUUCUACAGAAGUGAAGUAAGUUGAGUUUCUUUAUCUCUGAUGGCUCCAGGUCUAUCUUAUGGUACACCAAUUUCUUUCUUCCUUGGUACUGAAGUUUGCAAACCAGGGGUAUUGUGUGUAUGUAUUUAUGUAUGUGUAUCUUAUCUCUGAUGGCUCCAGGUCUAUCUUAUGGUACACUAAUUUCUUUCUUCCUUGGUAUUGAAGUUUGCAAACCAGGGGUAUUGUGUGUAUGUAUUUAUGUAUGUGUAUCAUGUUGUUACAAGUAAACAAACUUCAACUUGAAGUGCAUUUAUUAUGUGGUAUCCAUGUGUAUCGACUAUGUGCCAUAUAUCUGUUAUGGUCACUACAACAUCUUUUUAUGAUGCUUGUUAUUAUUAUUAUUGUUACUUUUUUUCCCUUUAACUUGUAAAAUUUUGCAGAAUUCUUUUUUUUUUCCACUUUCACAUAACUUUCAUAUAUUUUUCUACUUUGGUUCUGGGAAGUUCAGUCCUAAUCUCUUUUCUGUUAUCCUUCCCUCUGUAAUGGGUACAAUUAAGAUAUUAUAUAUCCAAGGUUCUUCUGACAGUCAAGAAUUUCCUAACUAUAAUAAGGUGUACAUUACUUAAUAAAGACUUAACAUUGUAUCAAGGUGUAAAAAAUGUCUGCUUCCAUAUAAAAAAGAGUUGCCUUUUAUCAUGGCAAAGACCCUGGAAAAGUUCCUUCUUUUCUGUUUUAGGAAGAACACAAGUAACACAUUUAUAUGCUUUUUACACUAAACAUACAUUUGUAGACUCUGAGUAAACCCACCAUACAUAGUCUUUCUUUUCUUUACUCACAGACGUAUAACCUGGGACAAAGACUACGGGACAGGGGGACAUUUGGGAUAUAGAGGUGACAGGAAUGGCAGAAUGAGGGAAACAGAACAGGGAAAACGUCAGUAAAGGGUGUGCUAGUUCAUUGUUCAUAUUAUUGGCUGCUGGAACACUGAGAAAUAGUGUGCCAUGCACAAUUCAGAUUUAUUCUACCCUCCAAUAAUGGUAGUAAUCCUCUUGUACUAAUUGUAAACAAAGCAAGUCUUCUUGGGUUCUGGGUAAGGACAGACUUGUAGACCUGACAGCUGACACUCAGUAAGCACAUUCUACAGGGAUAUACCACAGAGGAUUUGCCUGCAUUGUGUACUAGACACAUUCACGAGUGGUUCAGUUAUAUGGGCUUUUGUUCCCCUAAGAUACAAUGCAGACAAUGAAUGGACUUGUUUCACACGACUUUCUCAAUCACCCACACAGUGGAGGAGAAAGCAGUACACUUUUCUUAGUUACUUUUCUAUUGCUGUGCUAGGAUAGAUACCAUGACCAAGGCAAUUUACAGAAAAGAGUUUAUUGGGGCUUGCAGACCCAUGACCAUGGGGUGGGGAGUUUGGCAGCAGGCAUGUAGGCAUGUCACUGGAGCAGUAAUUCAGAGGUUAUAUCUGGUUAAUAAACAUAAGGUAGAGAGAUCUAACUGGGAAUGGUGUGUGCUAUUGAAAUCUCAGAGACCACCCCCAAUGACAUAAGGUAACACCUCCUAGCCAUUACCAAAUGCUUCCACCAACUGGGGACCAUAUACAAGAAACCAUACACAGCCAAUAUUGCUCCAAAAUCUACGUGAUGACCUAGCUCCACACCUCUGCGUAUGGCCAGAGGACUUGACAUCGUUCUACACAGAUGCUGAUCUAGUCAUAAUACCUAAUAAACGGAAACAACCUAAAUACCCUUCAGUUGAUGGAUGGAUAAUACAAAUGUGAUUCAUGUGCACAACUGAAUAAUAUUCAGCUGUAAAGAAAAAUGAAAUCAUGAAAUUUGCAGGUAAGUAUACUUCUCACCAAGCUGUAGGCACUAAGUGGUUGCUGGAGGAAGGAAAGUAAAUAAUCCCCCACCCAAGCUCGGGAAUGCUGGGAGAUUUAAAUGCAAUGGGCCACACAAAAGAAGAGGGAAAGGAGGAGGAAGAGAAUAAAAGAGGGUAAUGCGGGAAGACUAUAAUCAAAGAACAUCAUAUAUGUGUAUGAAAUUAGGAAAGAACCGAUUUUAAACAAAUAAGGAAAGUUGAGAUUUUUGAGUGGUAGUUUACUGGAAGAAGUGAGGUUUAUCCAAAAAAGGGAACACUGAUCAUUUCUAUCACAGUGGGGAAAGACACCUAAAUAGAAACAAUUGCCUAGUGAAUGACCAUGUCAGUUAUAUAGAACACUUACAUGUGCAAAGCAAUGAACAAUGAGUUUAUACAUAUAUGUGACAUACUAAGCAAGUAGCAAUAGGCAAGGUUAUUUUCAAAGGUAAUUUCAAAAUGAGUUCAAACUUUAAUGUGUGUUUAAAACAUAAUGCCCUUUUAUAUUACAAAGAAUUUUUAUCAUCAAAGAAACCACUUUUUCAUAGCUGAUCAGACCAUGACAGAAAAACACAUCUUGGGUCCCCCAGUAUAAUCUCCAAUCGCUUUAUAAAAUAUUUCCAUGCUUCUGUGAUGAUGCAUGCGUCCUUCAGAUUAAAAAAAAAACUUUAUAAAUAGCUUUUAAAAGUCCGGUCGGGUACAAAUCUCGACAGCACCGUCUACACUGCACAACUAUUUCAGUCACGCUUCCCUGGCUUGUGGCCUGUUUGGUAGUUUAAUGCUCAUUGGCAACACUUGCAGAAAUAAACUGACUUCUGCCUUAACACGGGGCCAGACCUCCCCUCCGUUAAACCACCGCGCAUCGUUUCCCGGAAGUUCGCUGAACUGUCUGAACUUGACAUUCAUUUUCAACCGAGGCUGGGCCACAGUGAGGGGGGCAUCCGCUGCCAGCUU
ensembl:lincRNA